rnacentral:rRNA from 1 species
UACGGGGGGGGCAAGCGUUGUUCGGAAUUACUGGGCGUAAAGAGUGUGUAGGCGGUGCUCUAAGUCUGUUGUGAAAUCUCCCGGCUCAACUGGGAGGGUGCGGCGGAAACUGGAGUGCUCGAGGGUGGGAGAGGUAAGCGGAAUUCCUGGUGUAGCGGUGAAAUGCGUAGAUAUCAGGAGGAACACCGGUGGCGAAGGCGGGUCUCUGGGCCGAUACUGACACUGAGGAGCGAAAGCGUGGGGAGCGAACAGG